rnacentral:rRNA from 1 species
UUGACCUGAACUCAGUCGAGAGCACCCGCUGAACUUAAGCAUAUCAGUAA